rnacentral:rRNA from 1 species
UACGUAGGGUGCGAGCGUUGUCCGGAAUCAUUGGGCGUAAAGCGCGUGUAGGCGGCCCGGUAAGUCCGCUGUGAAAGUCGGGGGCUCAACCCUCGGAUGCCGGUGGAUACUGUCGGGCUUGAGUACGGAAGAGGCGAGUGGAAUUCUCGGUGUAGCGGUGAAAUGCGUAGAUAUCGAGAGGAACACCUGCGGCGAAGGCGGGUUGCUGGGCCGACACUGACGCUGAUGCGCGAAAGCCAGGGGAGCGAACGGG